GUAUUAAUGACCUCACGUUGAUAAGAAUUCCUCAGGGAGCCGAGGCGGGUGGAUCACACGGCCAAGAGAUCGAGACCAUCCUGGUCAACACGGUGAAACCCUGUCUCCACUAAAAAUACAAAAAAUUAGCUGGGCAUGGUGGCGUGUGCCUGUAAUCCCUGCUACUCAGGAGGCUGAGGCAGGAGAAUUGCCUGAUCUCAGGAGGCGGAGGUUGUGGUGAGCUGAGAUCGCGCCAUUGCACUCCAGCCCGGGUAACAAGAGCGAAACUCCGUUUCAAAAAAAAAAAAAAAAGAAUUCCUCAGGGAAGGAAAGGAAAGAAUGCUGCCCAAAUGGCUUGUUCUUCUUCCCUGGCCAAAUCUUCCGUCUCUAAUAUCAUGGAAUCGCCAAAUAUGGACUCCACGUAGUUGGUCUUGACUAUCCCAGGUCAGUGUAGAGCAGGAUGACUCAGUUUAGUCUAGAGUUUGGGCUGAGCCACGAAUAGAACCCAACACAGGCUUGGCAAAGGACGUGGUAAUGAAUGCAGAGUGUGGUGGCCACGGAAAGGAUUGAUGGACGCCGGUGAGGAAAUGCGUCAUCUGGAAAAGCAGCGGCUCAGCUCCUGGGGCCCCGUGUGGAUUUGCCUUCAGGAGGAGAUGAUGUCACUUUUGACCUGCAGGUCGAAUUAUUCUCCAGCCUAUAUGCUGGGACAAAGAUUUUCAUGA
rnacentral:lncRNA from 13 species